GACUGUUAGACAAGAAAAGCAUUCACUGGCUAGUGAUCCAUAGGUCGACCUGUGUCCUAAGUUAGGUAUAAGGUCCGAUGCCUUGGCCUACACUCGAGCUCUCUUUACACUGUUAGUUGUCAACCUUGUAAAGUUGAUGGAAGUCCUGUCACCACUACUUGUUGCACUGUGCCUUGAAGGGCAGCAGGCCCAACCGCUGCUCUGACUGAAAACUGAGUUAACAAGAUGAAAUCUAAAGGAUAUUCAUAGUGACUUCAAUUCAGGAAGAAUGCUUCCAAAAGAGCCCAGUGGGGAAAUCUGACAUCACAGAAGACAUUAAUUCAGUCACUUUCGGAGAGUUUGUCUACAGGAUGUUUCUCUGUUAUCAAAGGCAUUUGAAACAGGAUUUUACUUAAACAAUAAUGGAACACAGGAGUAUUUAAAGUGAAGAACACUUUGCCUGAAUGUGAUCAGGGCAUUGUCCGAAUUGAGGCCAUUUGGGAAGAAAAUUCUAGCACUGGAAGAGAAUUAUAGAAUAAAGAUUAUGAAUGGUUGGAUAAGACAAAUAAGUCACUUAGCCAAGCUCUGCAUUUUGAGCCUGCUGACUUUCAUUUAAAGAAGAAUGAAAGGCUGAAAAUCCAGGCUGCUGUGUCUGUAGAUAAAGGUCAAACCAUGUUUGAGUUCUUCACUGUUGUGUCCACCUAAAUAAAACUGAGUAAGUAAUGAAAAAUGUCUUAAUAUUUCUUGCCUUCCCUUUCGAGAGAGUCAUUUCAUGGAAGAUGUAAUGGGAGAUGCAUUCCAAAAUGUCUUGAGGCUCAUUCCUCUCUGCUGGAAA
rnacentral:lncRNA from 1 species